rnacentral:rRNA from 1 species
GAGUUUGAUCGUGGCUCAGGAUGAACGCUGGCGGCGUGCCUAAUACAUGCAAGUCGAGCGAACAGACGGGGAGCUUGCUCCCCUGACGUUAGCGGCGGACGGGUGAGUAACACGUGGGUAACCUACCUAUAAGACUGGAAUAACUCCGGGAAACCGGGCUAAUGCCGGAUAACAUGUUGGACCGCAUGGUCCUACAGUGAAAGACGGUCUUGCUGUCACUUAUAGGUGGACCCGCGCCGUAUUAGCUAGUUGGUAAGGUAACGGCUUACCAAGGCAACGAUACGUAGCCGACCUGAGAGGGUGAUCGGCCACACUGGAACUGAG